AGUGUGUGAUUGCAUCGCAGUGUAUAUAUUCGAUUCCGGUUUGUAUAAGUUUUCUUAAAAAAAAAAAAAAAAAAAAAAAAAAAAAAAAAAAAAAAAAAAAUAUGAUUCGAUCGAUUACCACAAAACAUUUGCAAGUAAUCGGUCAAAAAAAAAAAAAAAAAAAAAAAAAAAAAGAUAUGAUUCGAUCGAUUACCACAAAACAUUUGCAAGUAAUCGGUCAAAAAAAAAAAAAAAAAAAAAAAAAAAAAAAAAAAUUUCAUGUUUAUAUCUCAUUCAGUAUAUUUGAUUUAGACAUUUUAUUUUUAUUUUAUGUACUAGAGAUGAUGCUUUGUUUAAAUUUGGGGUUAGAGUUUGAGAUUUGUUGGUUUUUGAUCAUUUGAGACUUGAGCAGUUCGAAAACAUGGUUAUCAAUAUACUCGGUCUCUCCAGCGAUUUUGCAUAAUGUUUUGCAUUUUUUUUGUUAUCGCUGAUACCCACAAACACUUGAGCCUCACCUAAUUAAACACUAAAACAGCCUCCCAAACACCAAGCCCGUUAUACCUGAUGGAGAUAUCUUUGGUGGAAAGGUCACGCCCU
rnacentral:lncRNA from 1 species